rnacentral:tRNA from 1 species
CUCAUUGUAGUACAGUGGUGAGUAAUCCCGCCUGUCAUGCGGGUGAGCUGGGUUCGAUCCCUGACAACGAUG